rnacentral:rRNA from 1 species
UACGGGGGGAGCAAGCGUUGUUCGGAUUUACUGGGCGUAAAGGGCGCGUAGGCGGUCAGCACAAGUCAGUUGUGAAAUCUCCGGGCUUAACUCGGAAAGGUCAACCGAUACUGUGCGACUAGAGUGCGGAAGGGGCAACUGGAAUUCUCGGUGUAGCGGUGAAAUGCGUAGAUAUCGAGAGGAACACCUGCGGCGAAGGCGGCGUCCUGGACCAACACUGACACUGAUGAGCGAAAGCCAGGGGAGCAAACGGG